rnacentral:misc_RNA from 1 species
CUUCACUUUAUUUUUAGUUUCCCAUAACCAAUCCAAAUAUAACAAAGAAAACUGAAAUUAUAAAAACUAUGUAAUGUUACAUUCCUACAUUAACCUUCUUCGAAACCUAAUUUCUCAGGAAAGUGAUAUUCCAGUUGAGAAUAUUGAAUUCUGGCAACCAAACACUCCCUUCGUGGAUUUCAUCCUUCAAUUUUCAGCCAUAAAAAGUAAAUGACAGCUCUAGCAGAAGUACCCAACUAGAUGGAAAAAAAACUGAAUCUUAAGAUCCUUUGCUAGCUGCACAUCCAUGUUCUUAACAUGUUCAAGGCAUUUACUCAUUUGCUCAAGCAAUCUACAUAACUCGGGUAUUCAGUAAAAGUUUUUAGAAGUUGUAAUGCAUGUCUAAUGCUCAAGGUGGAAUACAUAUUCUGUCAAGCGCUGUAGUUUACUGGAAUCCAGUUUCUGCUCUGUCACAAUCAGCUGCUUCUUCACAGUUAGCAUCCCUGAUGCAGGAUCAACAAUCCAACCUUGCUGCAUUACAUAGUUUGCAGCAUCAUCCUCAUUCAUUCCCAAAAAGCGAGCAGUGUCUUCGAUGCUUAUUGUUGAAUAAGCAGACAGCAACAACUGAAACAUCCUCUUGGUGUAAACCUCUGCAUAUAAGAAUGAUCAAAACAGUUAUGGAGCCAACAAUCUCAGCACGUAACAGCAAAACCAACGAUGGUUUCACAUUUGAAAAGUCUGAAAUAAAAAAGAACAUCUGGAAGCUUUUCAUCACAUUGACAAUUAAAACGCAAAUGAAUACACGUUGAAUUCAAAGUUGAACCAGUUCCAAUGUUUUGUUGCAUGCCACUCACUGAUACGUGGCAUUUGAUUUCAGAAAUAAUAGCUUCAAAACAUCCAAGAGCUUGUUCAAACUAAGAAAACAUUAAGAAUAUUGAAUAGUUUCUUCUCUUACAGUUUCACAAUUUUUUUUAAUCCAAACAUAUGUUCUGUAACAGAACUUUUAGGAAGGUUUAGCUGGUGUCCCAGGACAUGAGUUUGAUUUAGCACCAUGAAUUCAUCAUACUAUGCAAGUAAAUAAAUCUCUUAUCUCUCAAAGAUGAUGAAAUUAAUGAGCUUCUAGAUCCAUUUUCUGCAUUUCUGUUUAACAGAUACCCAAAGAAUCUCCCUUCCUCAGGAUGAAGGAAGAAAGGAAACUCUUUUAGUUAAGUUUGAAAUAAGCUAAGGGAGAAGAGAUGUUUGGGGCUACAAGGAGCAAUUAGAGCUUGGGGAACUAUACUUUUUUGUUUGCUCCUGAAAAACCAAACCAAUGAGUAAAAAAUCAUCAUUCUAUAUAGCAUGAGGUUCCCCAUAUUGCAUGAUAUAGGGAGAAAUAGAUCUACAUAGCCUUUCCUUUACACAGCAUGAGAGAUUAGGGUCUCGCAUUCCAAAUUCGUGCUUCUAUAUAGACAUCCAUUCAUUUUAUUAACAUUCAUGACAUUCAAAACAAAGUAAUAUCCAUCAAUCAUCAAGCAACUAAAACUAUAUGAACAUAUUAAUUGUGUUACAAGAUUUGUGGAAAAGUCACCAGAAAAUGCAGCAACAAGAACCCGAGUUUCUUGACUCCAAUCAAAACCACGGAUAGCCUCAUACACGCCUGCAUAGUCACGUGUCCAUAAUUUCUGACCAAUUCUCCAAGCUGCUACCACUUCCGGUUGGUUUUCUUUGACAGCUGAGGGUAUUGAUUUCCAGAGAAAUCGAGCACUGUUACUGCAUGAUCAUGAUCAUCACUCAACAGAUGAAACCCCCUAAACUACACUAAAAUCCCAUAAAUACAAAAUCCUCUCCAGCUUUAAAACAACAAACAACUCAAAAUAAUUGCAUAAUAACUCCACCCAAAAAGUAAAAAAUUGCAAAACAUACAAUCCCUUCAAAAUCUCUAAAUGCAAACCAGUAGCUUUCAAAACCCUCUAUUAAUCACCAGCAAAAACACAAA